UUCAAGUCAAGGGGCCAGUUGCAUAAAAGCUUUAGACUAGUCUUAAAAGUUAGUCAUCUAAUUGUUUUCUAUAAGACUGGCCAUA